UUUUAGCCCUGAUAGAAGUGGAAAUCCUUUUCUUUUUUUUCUUUAAAAAAAGAAAAGAUUACUUCACUAUACUUUUAUUUUCAUAGGAGUUCAGUGAACUUCGUUUGAAAUGAAUAGCAGGAAAUAGC
rnacentral:misc_RNA from 1 species